rnacentral:lncRNA from 1 species
UGGCAGUACCUCCAUUUCCAAGAAUACCAGAGGGGUGCCAGCCGUUCAACAGUUACUCCCUCGGGUCCAGGGAAGUGUUUAUUCCAACGUCAUUACUGCACGGAGUGGCCAGCAACCAGUGCCCUAGGCUAGGGUGGAGGGGAAAAGAUAUCAGGAGAGAAGAGACUGGCCUUUUAUAAGGGGAUGCAGCGCAUGUGCAGGGGGGAAGAUGGGCCUUUUAGGUGACUGUGGGAAUGUAUCGAAUCUCAGCAGCCAGUGGUGUUGUACCCUACUGUCACUGGGUCCCAGGGGCAGGUGGUGGAGAUGUGUGAUUGUUAACACAACCAAAAAAAAUAAUGUUUGUUUAAAGAUGAGGAAAUAAGGCUUAGAAUAAUCAAAACCCAGCAACAGUGAUCAUUAUGAAAAUUUAAUUAUUUGGCUAUGUAUUUUAUGUAUAUUGGUGCUUUGUCUGCAUGUACCUCAGCACACCAGAAGAGUAUGUCAGAUCCCAUGGGGCUCAACUGUUGUGAUUCACUGUGUGGGUGCUAGGAAUUGAACUCAGGACCUCUGAAAGAGCAGCCAGUGCUCUUGACCACUGAGCCAUCUCUCCAGCCCCAAUAAUAAGAUGUAUUAACUAACUAAGGAGAAGUGAUAGCUGAGUGUGGUUGCAAAUGAAACCCUGUCCCCUUCUCUCUUUUCCCUUCUGUCUCUUAAGGGAGAAACCCUUUGUGUACGAAUGCUGACCCUGGUUUCAGUGGUAUUCAUAAGUACCUUGCACUGUGUAAGCUCUUUUAACUGUUAUAACCCUCUCAAGAAGAUAAACACCCAAGAAACUGAGUGAUUUCCUCAAGGUGUCACAGCCCAAACCUCUGGGCCUGAAGUUUCUCCCUCUGCCUGUGUCAUAUUCUGGCUUAUGGACUAGCAAGGAUGUUUCUGUCCAUCAGUCAAGUCCGGAUCCAGUGAGUCUAACCUUAAGUGAGUGGGCCC